rnacentral:rRNA from 1 species
GGUGAACGCUGGCGGUAGGCCUAACACAUGCAAGUCGAACGGCAGCACAGUGAGAGCUUGCUCUUACGGGUGGCGAGUGGCGGACGGGUGAGGAAUACAUCGGAAUCUACUUUUUCGUGGGGGAUAACGUAGGGAAACUUACGCUAAUACCGCAUACGACCUACGGGUGAAAGCAGGGGAUCUUCGGACCUUGCGCGAUUGAAUGAGCCGAUGUCGGAUUAGCUAGUUGGCGGGGUAAAGGCCCACCAAGGCGACGAUCCGUAGCUGGUCUGAGAGGAUGAUCAGCCACACUGGAACUGAGACACGGUCCAGACUCCUACGGGAGGCGGCAGUGGGGAAUAUUGGACAAUGGGCGCAAGCCUGAUCCAGCCAUACCGCGUGGGUGAAGAAGGCCUUCGGGUUGUAAAGCCCUUUUGUUGGGAAAGAAAAGCAGCAGGUUAAUACCCCGCUGUUCUGACGGUACCCAAAGAAUAAGCACCGGCUAACUUCGUG